rnacentral:rRNA from 1 species
AUUGAACGCUGGCGGCAUGCCUUACACAUGCAAGUCGAACGGCAGCGGGGGAGAAGCUUGCUUUUCCUGCCGGCGAGUGGCGAACGGGUGAGUAAUACAUCGGAACGUGCCCUGUAGUGGGGGAUAACUAGUCGAAAGAUUAGCUAAUACCGCAUACGACCUGAGGGUGAAAGUGGGGGACCGCAAGGCCUCAUGCUAUAGGAGCGGCCGAUGUCUGAUUAGCUAGUUGGUGGGGUAAAGGCCUACCAAGGCGACGAUCAGUAGCUGGUCUGAGCGGACGAUCAGCCACACUGGGACUGAGCAACGGCCCAGACUCCUACGGGAGGCAGCAGUGGGGAAUUUUGGACAAUGGGCGAAAGCCUGAUCCAGCAAUGCCGCGUGUGUGAAGAAGGCCUUCGGGUUGUAAAGCACUUUUGUCCGGAAAGAAAUGGCUCUGGUUAAUACCUGGGGUCGAUGACGGUACCGGAAGAAUAAGGACCGGCUAACUACGUGCCAGCAGCCGCCGUAA